UGGGGAAUAUUGCACAAUGGGCGCAAGCCUGAUGCAGCCAUGCCGCGUGUAUGAAGAAGGCCUUCGGGUUGUAAAGUACUUUCAGUCGGGAGGAAGGUGUCAAGGUUAAUAACCUUGGCAAUUGACGUUACCGACAGAAGAAGCACCGGCUAACUCCGUGCCAGCAGCCGCGGUAAUACGGAGGGUGCAAGCGUUAAUCGGAAUUACUGGGCGUAAAGCGCACGCAGGCGGUUUGUUAAGUCAGAUGUGAAAUCCCCGGGCUCAACCUGGGAACUGCAUCUGAUACUGGCAAGCUUGAGUCUCGUAGAGGGGGGUAGAAUUCCAGGUGUAGCGGUGAAGUGCGUAGAGAUCUGGAGGAAUACCGGUGGCGAAGGCGGCCCCCUGGACGAAGACUGACGCUCAGGUGCGAAAGCGUGGGGAGCAAACAGG
rnacentral:rRNA from 1 species